ACCUAGAUUCACUUCACAUUUUUACAAUGAACCUGUGGUGAUGUGCUCAUGUGCAGGGAACAGAGUGUAACAUCCUUCUUUAUGUGUGUGUAUGUGUUUUUAUUGAUACAGUUUAAAAUGAUUACAGGGUGUCAUUCAGUGACAAAAGGGCCUGUUCCAGGAAAUCUCCUUGACCCAAAAGUCAUUCUGAAUUCUUCAAGAGACAUUUGAUGUGGACAUAAGGUACCUUUCGGUUCUCCUGCCUUUAAAGAAACUUAACUUUAGGCAAAGGAUCUUCCAGACCAAUGUAGCCACUGCAGGUCAGAAGACAGUGCUACUUUCUAGUAUGGAAAUCAGUAUUCUUAUCUGAGGAGAAGGUUGUUGGAGUGGUUGUGUUCAAUAUUGAAGGAAGCAGAGCUUUUUUUUUGUAAUAAAUGGGAAUAUGUACUUCUGAAAAGUAAAUUAAGAUUAGGACUGUGAUAUGAGUUUUAUUUCUGGCUUGGUUUUGUUUCCAUAGCAGUCCCAAUUUCUCACAGUAUCUUCUUCAUGAAAGCAUGCUAAUACAUAUCAGACCAUAUGGCCCCAUUUGAGGUUUAGAAAAUAUGGUCAUCUUAUUUAUGGAUAAAUAAAUUAAUCCCAGGGCAUAAGUUGGUUGCUUAAAAACAUGGCACAUAUUUAAUGAGCGGUGGCUCUAAGUGAGAUUCAAGCAUCCCCCUUUCAGGCCUGUGGGAUGGGAAUAAAUGUAUAAGGCAAAUAAUGUGCUGAAUAUAAAGUCAUGCUGUCAUCUUGAAAAGCAUAUUCCCAGAUUCACUGGAGGUAGUGUUGCUGACUUAAGGUUCAGCUUUUGGUCCAUUUGUUGUCAUUGGUGUCUUGGAAGGAGAUUUUGCAUCCAGGGUGCCAGGAGCUAAAUGAUUUUGUUAGUUGAUCCACAAAUAGUCCAUUCUUUCUUCCUACCUGUAAGCAAUCUGUUUUGUAGGUUAUCUGUAGUUGGUUUCUCACCUGAGGCUGGCUUUACUCAGGCUCAGAAGCCUAUUGUCUUGUGUUAAACAACCAGUCCAGAAAAGGUAAAAUUAUAAAAAGAUAAAACAAUCCAUGACAAAGAAACAACAAAAACACUAGAACUAGAAAGCCAAGCAAAACCUAAGUGGGAAGCCAAAUCUGUUGUUCAAAGUGUUACAUAUGCUAGAACUAAUUAUGCAGGAUUUUGGGGUAACAUUGGUCCUGCCUCUUCACCAUUAGCAGAAAUAACCAAGAAGUGACUGUUGUGAUAGAGGACAUAAAGCAGAAAUAACCUGCCCCAUGAAUAUAUAGGUUAACAUUUUCUGUGAAAAUGAUAGAAAUGCCAACCUACCUUAGCAGUGGUUUUAAUAGUAACUAUUAGAAAUGACUAAUAAAUAUGGAAGAUAUGCUGGUGUUUUUCCCAGUAAUCAGUAUUAUGUGGGAAUGUACUUGGAUUGUUUCUCAUGAUUCUGUACACCAAGGGCUAUUUCAAAGUCAAAGAGCAUGAAGGCAUUUUUAUCCACAGCUACUUAAGCUAUUGGCUGUUGAGGGGCCAGUUACCUCUUAAAUCAGUCAAAGCAGUUAAAUAAGUAGUCCCUGUGGAUAUCAGCAAAAGCUGUGCCAGUGCUAAGUCUAAGAAUUAUAUUUGUUUCAAAAUAAUUAUAUGAAUAUAUAAUAUAUUCAUAUGUUCACAUAUAUUAUGUAUUUUAUAUUCUGCCCACAAAUAUAAGCAAAAUGAAUGAUCUGAGGUAUUGAAAGAGACUUUUCAAAGUGAAGUAAAAGUGUAUAAUUCCCAUUAGCAGGCAAAUGCAUGUGUUUUGGAGAAAUGGUGAGGCUGGAGGAUUAAAAAACCUUUCUUUACACUUUAGGUUGGAUUUUUGUGCCCCAUAACGACAAUAAUACUAGUCCUAAGCUCUGAGACAUUCCAUAAGGGUAUAUAGAGAGUUUCAUUCCCAGAAGAAAGGGUUAAUUUUAAUACUGUAUGGAACAUUGCAAAAUGCUGAUUUUAUUUUUUUAAUGCA
rnacentral:lncRNA from 1 species